GACGAACGCUGGCGGCGUGCUUAACACAUGCAAGUCGAGCGGUAAGGCCCUUUCGGGGGUACACGAGCGGCGAACGGGUGAGUAACACGUGGGUGACCUGCCCUCAGCUCUGGGAUAAGCCUGGGAAACCGGGGUCUAAUACUGGAUAUGACUCCAUGACGCAUGUUGUGGGGUGGAAAGCCUUGUGCGGCUGAGGAUGGGCCCGCGGCCUAUCAGCUUGUUGGUGGGGUGAUGGCCUACCAAGGCGACGACGGGUAGCCGGCCUGAGAGGGCGACCGGCCACACUGGGACUGAGACACGGCCCAGGACUCCUACGGGAGGCAGCAGUGGGGAAUCUUGCGCAAUGGGCGAAAGCCUGACGCAGCGACGCCGCGUGAGGGAUGACGGCC
rnacentral:rRNA from 1 species